ensembl:lncRNA
AUAGGACCCCAUAAAGACCACUUUAAGCCCCCAUAGAACCCCAUAGGACCCCAUAGAGCCUCAUAAAGACCCCAUAGGACCCCAUAAAGACCCCAAAAGACCCCAUAGAACCCCAUAGGACCCCAUAGGGACCCCAUAAGGACCCCAUAAGACCCCAUAGAGCUCCAUAGGAACCCCAUAGAGCCCCAUAGGACCCCAUAGAGCCUCAUAGAACCCAAUAAAGCCCCCAUAGAGCCCCAUAGGACCCCAUAAGGAUCCCAUAGAACUCCAUAAAGCCCCAUAAAGACCCCAUAGGACCCCAUAAGGACCCCAUACGACCCCCAUAGGACCCCAUAAGGACCCCUUUAAGCCCCAAUAGGACCCCAUAAAAACCCUUUAAGCCCUUUCAGACCCCAUAAGGACCCCAUAGAGCCCCAUAGAUUCCCAUAGGACCCCAUAAAGCCCCUUUAAGACCCCAUAGGACCCCUUUAAGGCCCCAUAGGACCCCAUAAUACCCCAUAAGGACCCCAUAGGACCCCAUAAAGCCCCCAUAGGACCCCUUUGAAGCCCAUAGGACCCCAUAAAGACCCCAUAGAGUCCCAUAA